CUUGAAAAAAGUAUUUCCAAUGUUUUUUAAGUCUUCAGAUAUUAAUAAAAUUUUAUCUACCUGUAUAAAAGGACAUAAAUAUGUUGGGUGUUAGUAAAUAAUGUGACUUAACACUAAGGUUCUAUCAUAUGAUAACCAAGACUAACCAAGCUUUUAGUACUAAAUAUUUUAAUUCACGUAAGUAAUUAAAUGUAUUUAUCUGAAAGUACUCACAUCUUUUACAUCUAUAUCCGCAUCCUCGGGGAAGUCUGGAUGACUAUCACCAGAGCCAUCUUUGGGGAAUAUUCCCCAGUCAUCCCCUUCCUUCAGUUCUCCACAUUCUGCAAUGACACAGAGCUGUAAAAACAUGAAGCUGACGUUUUUCACCAUUCACUUCUACAUUUUCAAGCAUCCUUGCCACACCGAGUCCUUUUAUUACUUGACCAAAUACCACAUGUUUCCCAUCCAAAUGAGGAGUUGGAACUGUUGUGAUAAAGAACUGAGAACCAUUCGUAUUGGGGCCUGCAUUUGCCAUGCUCAGCAAACCCUCUCGAUCAUGCUGCAGAGAUAAAAAUCAUUCGAAGAAAAACAAGUUAGAGGCCUAGUAUGAAUUUCCUUUUAUUGACGCUGCACCUAAAAUAGAUGGGGUGUACUAAACUUUACUUUUACAUCAAUUUCUUUUAUAAAUGUUUAAGUACCUUUUGCUCUGGUUUUAUUUUAAGAACUACCACCUUAAAUUGUCAGUUUCACAAGAAGCGGUCAUUUCUAUACUGGCUAUUUGCAAGAGAUGUUUACACUUUAAAGAUGAAGACGGAAAACUAAGGAUAUCUAAUAACUA